rnacentral:rRNA from 1 species
CCUACGGGAGGCAGCAGUAAGGAAUAUUGGUCAAUGGACGAAAGUCUGAACCAGCCAUGCCGCGUGAAGGAUGAAGGCCCUCUGGGUUGUAAACUUCUUUUAUCUGGGACGAAAAAAGGGCUUUCUAGCUCACUUGACGGUACCAGAGGAAUAAGCACCGGCUAACUCCGUGCCAGCAGCCGCGGUAAUACGGAGGGUGCAAGCGUUAUCCGGAUUCACUGGGUUUAAAGGGUGCGUAGGUGGGUCUGUAAGUCAGUGGUGAAAUCUCCGAGCUUAACUCGGAAACUGCCAUUGAUACUAUAGGUCUUGAAUCAUCUGGAGGUAAGCGGAAUAUGUCAUGUAGCGGUGAAAUGCUUAGAUAUGACAUAGAACACCAAUUGCGAAGGCAGCUUACUACGGGUGCAUUGACACUGAGGCACGAAAGCGUGGGGAUCAAACAGGAUUAGAUACCCUGGUAGUCCACGCCCUAAACGAUGGAUACUCGACAUCAGCGAUACACUGUUGGUGUCUGAGCGAAAGCAUUAAGUAUCCCACCUGGGAAGUACGACCGCAAGGUUGAAACGUCAAAGUAUAGUAGGCGNGAGAGAGCGACGACGACGACGACGGAGGGAGGNG